UCAUCAUAUUUUGAUAAACGUUCAAUGAGAUAUUUCCCUCGUGCGAAAGGCCUCCUAGUUCUAUUUUUCCUUGCCUGAAGAAGAUUGCACUUGAAAGCUGAAAUCAAAUGAUCCAAGUCUAAUAGUCUACCGUCUCAACUCCAAAGCAGCCAUGUUAUCUAGUAGUAUUACUUCGUCGUUGUAUCCCUCAAAUUUAAGCCCAUCUCCCAUAAUCCGGUUUCUCUCUCCUCCACAAUACGCAACACUCCGUUUACCCAGGAUUUCUCGCCCCAAUUAUACCCGAAACACCAUCAUUUGUUGUAUUCGCAAAAACAAAACAUGGGUUCCUGCUUUGUUAACCGCUGGUGUUGCUCUGGCUUUGGUGGGUCCCGCCAUUGCUGCAAAUUCUCCGCCAUUGUUGUCUUCAAUUGAGCUUCAUGAACCUGAAAAUGCCCUCUCUCUCCCCACCUGGGCUAUCCAUGUGUCCAGUGUUGUCGAAUGGGUGAUAGCAAUGGCUUUGGUGUGGCAAUAUGGGGAGAAACCUGGCAAGGAAUCUUGGAAAGGUCUUACUUGGGGAAUGGUACCCUUACUUGGGGGAGCAAUGUGUGCUUGUACAUGGCAUUUCUUUUACAAUGCGGAGUCACUUGAGGUACUGGUGGCGCUUCAAGCUGCAUUGACUACUUUUGGCAAUGCCACUAUGUGUAUUGCUGCCUUCCGCAUAUACAAAUCACAGAGCCACACGGAGAAUGUAUGAAGAUCUCAUUGGAACCAUCAUUCUAGUGUCCUGCAAGUAUUGGAUUUGAGUUUGAUGAAGGUGACAAAGAAUGGCGUUACUUUGUUUCCCUAGACAUUCGGGUAUCCAUGUCCAGCUUGGGGAUGUGUCUAGUCGGACUCGACUUUUUUGUGAAAACUUUCAAUGAUGUUGGCUCAAAAUGAAGUGUCUAAGUGUUGUACCCAUGUUCGAGUGUCGAGGAUCCAACAUGGAUACUUGAAGUGACAUGAAGAAUCCAAUUAACACAGGGAAGUACUGCCUCAAUUCGGAUUUAGUUUGUUCACUCAAUUUACAUGCUGGUGAAAAUUUAUUUUUACUUUAUACAUUAAGUACUGACGUGGGGUAGGAGAAUCAAACAAUAGAAAGUUUUUGUUGUCAAAAUUGUUGUUAAUUCAUUCCAAUACAUUCGGGUAUACAAUAUGCUUUUUUUGCUCAAAACUAAUUUUACAUUAAUUGGAAACUACUAAACUUUUUAUUACUGCAAGCAUGAUUUGCGAAUUUUUCUGUAGCAAAUAAAUAUUGGUGUAAGAUGGAUAUUCAACAAAAGAUAAGAUUAUAUAACACUUAGUACCACUACUAUUGCUACGUAAUUAUAGUAGUAGUAGUAAGAUAUUGACUCAUUUAUUACUAGUACUAUCUUUACCUACAAUCCCUUUAAUACAUAUGAUAAUGAUAAGUAGAAUGGACUUGCAACUACAAAUGGAUCACAUAAUAACAACACCAUAUCUACUACCGACAACAACUAGUAUUAUUUUGUAACGUUUUUCGUAAAUAAGCAGGCAUUAUUGAAGAGAACAUAUCAAACAAAGUUUGACUCACUUGGUAAGUUUCUCACCCCAUUGUCCUCAUAUUCUAGAGAUUCGGAGUUCGAGUUUUGCCAAGUGAGAGUAGAGGCUCAGUUCUUACCUUUCCCUUUACUCCCAAGCGCAUGAACAUAUUUAAGUUGAAGUUUGGUGAAAGUCCUAAUAAUAAUAAAACAGGUUCGUGGAAUUUACAAGGAUUCACCGGAUUUAUUAAAUUAAACAUUUAAGGUAGGUCUUGACCUGCAUCACAUAGGUGGUUCCAAGCCUACUCUAAGCUCUCAUGAGUUCGGUCUUGGGACUUUUUUUCAUUUUAUACCGCGACAACCAUUGCCGUGGAGUUAAAUGGGGAUAAAAACAAGUAAAAAAAAACUGGAUUAUGUAGUGGAACUCCCUGUGUCCUACAUAUUUAUUGAAGGCAGUGUACAAUAAUUAACCUCUUUCAGUCUUUUAUAUAUGAAGCCUUAUUUUACCAAUUACUAAACUGCAAAGUGAAGAGGAUCCUUUUUGUCCCUUCCUUUAUUUACUUUCACUUUUGGUGCUUUAAAAUCUGAAAGACUGUUUAUUUUGUUCUUCAUCUAUACACUGAUAACUGCAAGUACAUUCAGUCUUGUAAGAGCUGAAUUUUAGGAGAUGUGUGAAACUUGUUUCUUGUGACUUCACUACCACUACUAUAGUUAACUAAAGGUGCCUCCUUUUGAGGCAAAAUUUGUAGCUAAAAAACUUCAUCUACAUUAUGCUGUGGCCUGUGGGGUUGCUUGUUUUUUUCACUUCCUUUUGUCAUUUUCUCCUACUUUUUUCUACAUAUGCUCUUUUCAGAUAUUGGGAUGAUUUUUUUAUAAAAGAGAAUAAUCCUUUUUUGUUUUGAUGAUUCAAAUAAAAAUUGACAUUUUACUUUGGGAUCUAGUCUGAAAAGCAAAAUAAAUCAAAUUAGAAUCAGGUAAUUUUGUAAACUUUAAUUGAAAAGAUAUAGAAUUUUAAUUGCAUUUGCAUGCUAUCGUGCACAUUCUUCCUGAAGUGCACCUUUGAUUGCUAUGAAUUAAUGGAGUACGGAAAUGGCUGGGGUUUAGGAACGAAAACGUCCUUGUAAAGGGGAACCACUUAUCUUAGAAGUUUACGUGCUUCAUAGGGUAUAAAUUCCAAUUGGUCUUUUCAGUUAAACAGUUUUAAUUAGCAUGCUACAAUCAAAAGGAAGUUAAGAAGAAAAUAAAAUAAAGCUCCUAUAUAUUACAUUUUUCUCCACUAAUACAACUUUAAAGAUUAUACACCUAUUCAUAAAGUUCACUUAGGAAAUCAAGAUCUUAAUUAGAGCAAAGAUGACAAAAAGUGCUGAAUGAAAUUUUUUCCUGAUUAUUCCUUAAUCUACCCCUAAUCUACCCUUUGAAAACACAUACUAAAAUUGAUACUUCAGAACUAUUGAAUAGAAAAUACUAGCAAAUCAUAUAUGUCUAUAUUAUGUAGCUCAUAAAAAUUAGACUAAGAUGAGCUUCAGUGAUCAAUAUGGUGUUCUAAUUCCAGCUGAGAAGAGUUGAUUUUCUUCUGAAACUCCGAAAACAAAGCUUUGUUUUCUUGUCUAAGUAACAUAGCCUUUUGCCUUAGUUUUUCAUUCUCUUCUAAAAUACUUCUGUUCUGUAUGUACAACUUGAGAUUCUUUAGCUCCAUAUCCUCCUUAUUCGUUCCUUCAUAUCUUUUCCUGUACCACGAAAGCACACGUUAAAUCAUCGUAAAAUUCUACAAAUACGUAUAGAACAGGGGUGACAUACAAAAUUAUGUUUAUGGAAAUGCUAUUAGAGUAUAAAUUAUAGAGUUACAACAUGUAAGAAAAAAAAAGGCUAAUGGUAUUAUUGCACAGAGGUUGUGGGAUCGAGUCUUCGUUCGUGGAGUCAUGAGCGGAUUAGGUUGGGUAGUUUGUUAUUUACGUGACUUAAAAGAGGGCGUUGUAUGAUAAAUGAGUGUAUGUUACAUUACUAAAUAUGGAAAAAAAAAGAGACGUAGUAGAUGUAUUUUGAUAACACUUUACCUUACUAUAAGAAAACGAACUCGAAUUUUCGAUCUCUUUGAAGAUCGUUGGCGUCCAUCGGAAUAAGUGGGGGGAGAUUGUAGCCAAUCUUUUGCAGUACACAUAGUUUUAUUGUUAACUAAGGUUUGAUAGAAAGGAAUGAAGCAAGUAGAGCAAGGCAAUGAAGGUAUAAAUGAGUUAAAUUUGGAGGUGAAUAGAAA